rnacentral:rRNA from 1 species
GAUGAACGCUGGCGGCGUGCCUAAUACAUGCAAGUCGAGCGAACUGAUUAGAAGCUUGCUUCUAUGACGUUAGCGGCGGACGGGUGAGUAACACGUGGGCAACCUGCCUGUAAGACUGGGAUAACUUCGGGAAACCGAAGCUAAUACCGGAUAGGAUCUUCUCCUUCAUGGGAGAUGAUUGAAAGAUGGUUUCGGCUAUCACUUACAGAUGGGCCCGCGGUGCAUUAGCUAGUUGGUGAGGUAACGGCUCACCAAGGCAACGAUGCAUAGCCGACCGGAGAGGGUGAUCGGCCACACUGGGACUGAGACACGGCCCAGACUCCUACGGGAGGCAGCAGUAGGGAAUCUUCCGCAAUGGACGAAAGUCUGACGGAGCAACGCCGCGUGAGUGAUGAAGGCUUUCGGGUCGUAAAACUCUGUUGUUAGGGAAGAACAAGUACGAGAGUAACUGCUCGUACCUUGACGGUACCUAACCAGAAAGCCACGGCUAACUACGUGCCAGCCGCCGCCGUAACAC